AAUGCUGUUCACGCAGUACAAACUAACAGAUGAAAGAUAUGGACAGGAUUAGCAUGGCUCAUGCGCAAGGAUGACCCCCAAAUUCGUGAAGCACUCCAUAUUUGA